GGAUUACUCCUUUACGCUUUCGCGUUUGGUUGAUAAAGAUUCGCACCUCUAUCAAACCGGGUAAUCCCACCUCUUGGCAAGACCUGCUGUCAGAUCAAAUCUGAACUACUACAAUUCACGAUUAGUUUUCCGGAGCUGAUCAGCCUUUAAAAAUGCGGGGAAUUCUGGAUUUUUUCCGGAUUCCCUGCACUGAUG
rnacentral:sRNA from 1 species